UACGUAGGGGGCAAGCGUUGUCCGGAUUUAUUGGGCGUAAAGAGCGUGUAGGCGGCCAUACAGGUCAGCUGUGAAAACUCGAGGCUCAACCUCGAGACGUCGGUUGAAACCGUAUGGCUAGAGUCCGGAAGAGGAGAGUGGAAUUCCCGGUGUAGCGGUGAAAUGCGCAGAUAUCGGGAAGAACACCAAUGGCGAAGGCAGCUCGCUGGGACGGUACUGACACUGAGACGCGAAAGCGUGGGGAGCAAACAGG
rnacentral:rRNA from 1 species